rnacentral:rRNA from 1 species
CCUACGGGUGGCAGCAGUGAGGAAUAUUGGUCAAUGGACGAGAGUCUGAACCAGCCAAGUAGCGUGAAGGAUGACUGCCCUAUGGGUUGUAAACUUCUUUUAUAUGGGAAUAAAAUGUUCCACGUGUGGGAUUUUGUAUGUACCAUAUGAAUAAGGAUCGGCUAACUCCGUGCCAGCAGCCGCGGUAAUACGGAGGAGCCGAGCGUUAUCCGGAUUUAUUGGGUUUAAAGGGAGCGUAGGUGGAUUGUUAAGUCAGUUGUGAAAGUUUGCGGCUCAACCGUAAAAUUGCAGUUGAAACUGGCAGUCUUGAGUACAGUAGAGGUGGGCGGAAUUCGUGGUGUAGCGGUGAAAUGCUUAGAGAUCACGAAGAACUCCGAUUGCGAAGGCAGUUCACUGGACUGCAACUGACACUGAGGCUCGAAAGUGUGGGUAUCAAACAGGAUUAGAUACCCGAGUAGUC